rnacentral:rRNA from 1 species
AAAGGAAUUGACGGGGGCCCGCACAAGCGGAGGAACAUGUGGUUUAAUUCGAUGAUACGCGAGGAACCUUACCCGGGCUCGAACGGCUGUUGAAUAUUUAUGAAAGUAUAUAGUCGCAAGACAACAGUCGAGGUGCUGCAUGGUUGUCGUCAGCUCGUGCCGUGAGGUGUCGGCUUAAGUGCCAUAACGAGCGCAACCCUUACCGAUAGUUACCAGCAUUUAGAGAUGGGGACUCUAUCGGGACUGCCACCGUAAGGUGUGAGGAAGGUGGGGAUGACGUCAAAUCAGCACGGCCCUUACGUCCGGGGCGACACACGUGUUACAAUGGGGGGGACAGAAGGCAGCUACCUGGCGACAGGAUGCUAAUCUAUAAACCCCCUCCCAGUUCGGAUUGGAGUCUGCAACCCGACUCCAUGAAGCCGGAUUCGCUAGUAAUCGCGCAUCAGCCAUGGCGCGGUGAAUACGUUCCCGGGCCUUGUACACACCGCCCGU